AUGUCUUGCAUGAGCCAAGGAUGACUUGCCGGCUAAACUAAGAACUAUGAUCUCUUUUUAGGGUUUUGCUGGCGAGACAUCUUGGCUCACUUGUGUUCU
rfam:Vigna radiata var. radiata cultivar VC1973A chromosome 5, whole genome shotgun sequence